rnacentral:rRNA from 1 species
UACGAAGGGGGCUAGCGUUGCUCGGAAUUACUGGGCGUAAAGGGAGCGUAGGCGGGUUAUCAAGUUGGAGGUGAAAGCCCAGGCUCAACCUUGGAAUUGCCUUCAAAACUGAUAGCCUAGAGUAUGAUAGAGGUAUGUGGAACUCCGAGUGUAGAGGUGAAAUUCGUAGAUAUUCGGAAGAACACCAGUGGCGAAGGCGACAUACUGGGUCAUGACUGACGCUGAGGCUCGAAAGCGUGGGGAGCAAACAGGGAUAGAUACC